UUACUCCUAUCCGGAGGCAGCAGUGGGGAAUAUUGCACAAUGGGCGAAAGCCUGAUGCAGCGACGCCGCGUGAGGGAUGACGGCCUUCGGGUUGUAAACCUCUUUCAGCAGGGAAGAAGCGAAAGUGACGGUACCUGCAGAAGAAGCGCCGGCUAACUACGUGCCAGCAGCCGCGGUAAUACGUAGGGCGCAAGCGUUGUCCGGAAUUAUUGGGCGUAAAGAGCUCGUAGGCGGCUUGUCACGUCGGGUGUGAAAGCCCGGGGCUUAACCCCGGGUCUGCAUUCGAUACGGGCUAGCUAGAGUGUGGUAGGGGAGAUCGGAAUUCCUGGUGUAGCGGUGAAAUGCGCAGAUAUCAGGAGGAACCACCGGUGGCGAAGGCGGAUCUCUGGGCCAUUACUGACGCUGAGGAGCGAAAGCGUGGCGUGGGAGCGAACAGGAUUAGAUACCCUGGUAGUCCACGCCGUAAACGGUGGGAACUAGGUGUUGGCGACAUUCCACGUCGUCGGUGCCGCAGCUAACGCAUUAAGUUCCCCGCCUGGGGAGUACGGCCGCAAGGCUAAAACUCAAAGGAAUUGACGGGGGCCCGCACAAGCAGCGGAGCAUGUGGCUUAAUUCGACGCAACGCGAAGAACCUUACCAAGGCUUGACAUACACCGGAAACGGCCAGAGAUGUCGCCCCCCCCU
rnacentral:rRNA from 1 species